UCCGGUUGAUCCUGCCRGACCCGACUGCUAUCAGAGUGAGAUUAAGCCAUGCGAGUCAACGUAGCAAUACGUGGCACACGGCUCAGUAACACGUAGUCAACAUAACCAAAGGACGUGGGUAAACUCGGGAAACUGAGGCUAAACCGCGAUAGACCAAUAUACCUGGAAUGGUUUUUGAUUAAAAUCUAUAUGGCCUUCGGAUUGGACUGCGACCGAUCAGGCUGUUGGUGAGGUAAUGGCCCACCAAACCUGUAACCGGUACGGGCUCUGAGAGGAGGAGCCCGGAGAUGGGUACUGAGACAAGGACCCAGGCCCUAUGGGGCGCAGCAGGCGCGAAACCUCUGCAAUAGGCGAAAGCCUGACAGGGUUACUCUGAGUGACUUUCGCUAAGAAAGUCUUUUGACACCUCUAAAAAUGGUGUAGAAUAAGGGGUGGGCAAGUCUGGUGUCAGCCGCCGCGGUAAUACCAGCACCCCGAGUGGUCGGGACGAUUAUUGGGCCUAAAGCAUCCGUAGCCGGUCUUACAAGUCCUCCGUUAAAUCCAACUGCUUAACAGAUGGGCCGCGGAGGAUACUAUAAGACUAGGAGGCAGGAGAGGCAAGCGGUACUCAGUGGGUAGGGGUAAAAUCCGUUGAUCCAUUGAAGACCACCAGUGGCGAAGGCGGCUUGCCAGAAUGCGCUCGACGGUGAGGGAUGAAAGCUGGGGGAGCAAACCGGAUUAGAUACCCGGGUAGUCCCAGCUGUAAACGAUGCAGACUCGGUGAUGGACUAGCUUCAUGCUAGUCCAGUGCCGCAGGGAAGCCGUUAAGUCUGCCGCCUGGGUAGUACGGUCGCAGGUCUGAAACUUAAAGGAAUUGGCGGGGGAGCACCACAAGGGGUGAAGCCUGCGGUUCAAUUGGAKUCAACGCCGGRA
rnacentral:rRNA from 1 species